CGGAUACCUCUGGGCUGAGCCAGGCUGGCCCAGGGGCUCAGGGGAAGACACAAGGACAAGGAGGCAAAGACUCUUCUCGCUCACUCUUCGACCUCUCAUCCAGGCUUCCUGAGGCGGAAGUUCAGUGGGCUGAGAGGCUUCUCAGUCGUGCUCCUUCGUGAGGCCGUCGGUGGCGUCAGCGAGUGAUGGGGAAAGAAAACUCUGAAGUCACACGCAGCACAUCCACAGCGAGCAAUGGGGAGAAGACAAGUGGACGCUCAAAGCGCAGCCGGCCUUCCCAAAACAUUGUUUCCUUCUUACUGAAUAGGCAACUGGGGAGACCCAGAGGUGAUGUGAACCUGUCGAAAUGGGUGGCUGCUGUACUGAGCCACGCUGUGGUGGGCUUGAUCCUUUCCAGCAAUGCUGGGGUCUUCCCUGAUCACACCACCCACACAUGUUGAAAACGCAAAGGAAAAAUUGAUUUAAAAUAACAAACACCUCUCUUGUGUCAGCUAUUGAAAUAAAAGCUGCGUUUUCUCUCUG